rnacentral:lncRNA from 1 species
CCUCAGGUGCUCUCCUUCCCCACAGAUCUCCGAAAAAGAGAAGGAAAUAAAAAGAAAACGAAGCAAAAAGAAAAGAAGAAAAAGAGCAAUCUACGUAAGAAAGGGUCUUACCUUUUAAUUUUUACCAUCUUCCCCUUUUUUUCGUUGAUUUUUUUUCUAUGGUUUCCUGAUUUUUCUUCUGUUUUUUUCCAUCACAGGAGUCUCGAUCGGAUGGGAGGCGUGAAGCGGGCCGUUUUUGUGGCAAUCAGAUGGGACGCAUGGAGCCGCUAAAUAGGGAAACUUAGAUGAUGCCUU